ensembl:lncRNA
UAUGAUGUGGAAGAGCCUGAUGACAAAGGUCGCUGUGAUGUGUUUGCUGAACUCCGAGUGUGGAGAAAAGAACACAGCAGGCGUCUUGAGGCAAUAAAAACAGAAAAGCUUCCACAGAUUUUAACAAUUCGACACAGUGAUGAUGAGGACAACGAAGAUGAAGAUUGUUUUGAUAGUCUCAGAAAUUCUAGUUCUGAUGAAGAGGAUGAGGAGAAACGGCAUUCACCAGAAACUUUGCUCCAGUCUCCUUCACCAGGUCAACUCAACACACACUUACUUUGAUGAUAAACUGUAUUUUACUGAAUAUACUUCAUGAUAAACUUUUUGUCUUUACGUGUCUGUUGUAGACAUCGACAGUUUCUCGGGUGCAGCUCAAAUCUCAUCCCCAGACUCCAUGCUGUUACCAUCUCCCCCGGGCAGCGCUGCGUCCCAAACUGUCCGCAAAGCACCAGGGAUUCGAACACGUAGACUCAUACAGGUCAAUACAGAACUCUUGCCUGAUUUCAAGAGUAUAAAGCGCCACCUAGCUGCAGCUUCUGUAAGUGACAUGAAACCACAGGAUAGCAGGCGACUCACAGGCUCAGAUGUAAAGGUUUCUUCACACCCUCCUCGAAUACCUCGCCCUCCUCCAUUGAAAGGAAUCGCCCAUGGACUGAGGCCUUCAUGGGUCCCACUGGAGGGGCUGGAGGAAGUGUCUGGGGUGUGGGAAAUCUGGGAGUCUCUGCUUAGACUGCUUCCCCUUGACCUGGCCCC